GUCUGUCAAGUCGGAUGUGAAAUCCCCGGGCUCAACCUGGGAACUGCAUUCGAAACUGGCAGGCUUGAGUCUUGUAGAGGGGGGUAGAAUUCCAGGUGUAGCGGUGAAAUGCGUAGAGAUCUGGAGGAAUACCGGUGGCGAAGGCGGCCCCCUGGACAAAGACUGACGCUCAGGUGCGAAAGCGUGGGGAGCAAACAGGAUUAGAUACCCUGGUAGUCCACGCCGUAAACGAUGUCUACUUGGAGGUUGUGCCCUUGAGGCGUGGCUUCCGGAGCUAACGCGUUAAGUAGACCGCCUGGGGAGUACGGCCGCAAGGUUAAAACUCAAAUGAAUUGACGGGGGCCCGCACAAGCGGUGGAGCAUGUGGUUUAAUUCGAUGCAACGCGAAGAACCUUACCUGGUCUUGACAUCCACAGAAGAAUCCAGAGAUGGAUUUGUGCCU
rnacentral:rRNA from 1 species